UGAUAAGUUCGAGUUGGAAUCUUGGUCAGUCUAGUUUGAAAGGCCGAACUGUACCUUUCCUUUUUCGCCUACUUUCUGGUGGAGGCUGGAAUAAGAGUACGUAUUAUCAAAAGGAGGCUUGUGCUCGCUUAUUGAUUGCCUCCAGGACAUUGAACUAAAUCGAAACGUCGUUGGCUAAUGACGCAAAAUGCCGAAUCUGAAUGGUUCAACAAAGUCCAUCGAUUAUCGGGAUCAGCAACAGGACGGAAAAUGUGCAGAACCCUUGAUGAAAGGGCAUUCAAAAGAUAAUGUAGCAGUAGAGAGAACGUCCUUGACCACCCCCUCGAACGAAGAUUCUUUUCUACCAAACUACGAAAAUCAAUCAAAAGAAAUUACUAACUCGGGAAAGAAAAAAAAAUCCAGAAUUAGAAGAAUAAAAGACUCAUGUAAUGUAGAUCUGCUUCGUCAUCGCUUGCCGAUCGUGGGAUGGCUGCCAAAUUAUAACUUGAAUUAUUCCGUCUUUGAUCUUAUCGCCGGGGUCACUGUCGGACUUACCAUCAUUCCUCAGUCGAUCGCUUAUGCUGGCGUCGCGGGACUUCCUUUCGAGUAUGGCCUCUAUUCCUCAUUUAUGGGGUUGUUUGCGUACACCGUUUUUGGAUCGGUUAAAGAAUCGUCGAUUGGUCCGACAGCCGUCAUGGCUUUAAUGACCUUCAAUUAUGCCAACGAAGGGGGCCCUGCCUAUGCUUGCCUUUUGUCUUUUCUGGCUGGACUUAUUGAGCUUGUCGCCGGACUGCUUAACCUCGGAUUUAUGGUCGAUUUCAUUUCGGCGCCAGUCAUUUCUGGUUUCUGUUCGGCAGCCGCUUUGACCGUCGCCUCGACCCAGGUAAAAGGGCUCUUUGGACUGAAGUUUAGUGGGUCUUCCUUCGUUGAAAUCUGGACGGGUUUCUUUACAAACCUGUCUAAAAUUAAUCCGUGGGAUGCUGGGCUAGGAUGUUCCUCCAUCGUCAUUCUGCUUUUGAUGCGGAAACUGACUGCGAUGAAAAACCUUCGGCCUUUUAAGAAAAUUACAUGUCUCCGUAACCGAUUCGUUGAUAGUGGCUUGUGGUUUAUUUCAACUAGUCGAAAUGCCUUUGCUGUCAUUGGCGGCUGCGUGGCUGCGUACGUCUUGCAAGUCAACGGCCUAUCUCCUUUCACCUUAACAGGUAACAUCAAGGCCGGUCUACCUUCAUUCGAACUGCCUCCGUUUUCAAUCAAUACGACAGAUUCCGACGGGAAUAGCACGGUUUUGUUAAGUUUCCCAGAGAUAUGUUCAGAACUGGGUGCAGCCAUCGGUCUAAUUCCCCUUAUCGCCAUAUUAGAGCAAGUUGCUAUAGCCAAAGCGUUCGCUUUCGGCAAACGAACGGACGCCACUCAGGAAAUGAUCGCUCUCGGUAUGGGAAAUAUCCUUGGUUCUUUUUUCGGCGCAAUGCCCAUCACUUCGUCAUUUGGAAGAAGCUCCGUUCAAAAUGCCAGUGGAGUCAAAACGCCACUUUCCAACGUUUACGCAGGCAUUUUGGUUCUGUUGGCUUUGGGUUUUCUGAUGCCUUCCCUGGCAUAUAUUCCGAAAGCGAUCCUCGCUGCUGUAAUCAUUACGUCAGUAAUUUUUAUGGUGGAAUUAGAGGAACUUAAACCUAUGUGGAAGAGCAGAAGAGUGGAACUAAUUCCGUUAGGUGUGACAUUCUUUUGCUGUCUCUUUGUAAACAUGGAGUACGGUAUUUUGAUUGGGGCUGGCGUACAUUUGUUUAUGUUGGCUUACAUGGCGGGAGGCCGUCCUCAUCCGGAGUUGAUACGGGAACCUGGUAGUAAGAAGACCGGAGGAAGAGUCGUCGUUAAAGCUGACACAAACCUUUACUUCCCUGGAGUAGAAAAAUUUCGCCAAGUUCUGAAUGAAGCCACUGAUGGAGAGACAUGCGUCUUGGUCGAUCUAUCACACGUAACAGAAAUCGAUUACACUGCGCUGAAAAUGCUUAAAUCUGUGGCAUCAGAUUACCACAAAAGAGGCUUAAUGGUUCUGCAUUUUACCAAUGCUUCUUCAAAAGUAACCAAAUCGAUUUCAUCUGCCUUACAUUCGGCCGACAUCGAUUUCCUAACACCCAAUAAGAUGAAUAACGCAUUCGAACAAUGUGGACCAAAAACGGAUGAAGUCUAGGCGAGUCAGCGUUCUAUCAUUGACCUUAAAAAAUAUCACUUCUAUUAUAGUCAAGGUUAGAUUUUGUUUUAGCAGCAGUGCACAUAAAUUAGUAAUUUUAGGAAAAAAAAUAAAGGUAAAUAAAAUGUGAUACUGUGCCUUGUUUCAAUACAAGUUGGAUCUUAUUUCCCUGA
rnacentral:misc_RNA from 1 species